UACGUAGGGUGCAAGCGUUGUCCGGAAUUAUUGGGCGUAAAGAGCUCGUAGGCGGUUUGUCGCGUCUGCUGUGAAAACGCGGGGCUCAACUCCGCGCCUGCAGUGGGUACGGGCAGACUAGAGUGCAGUAGGGGAGACUGGAAUUCCUGGUGUAGCGGUGGAAUGCGCAGAUAUCAGGAGGAACACCGGUGGCGAAGGCGGCACUCUGGGCCGGAACUGACGCUGGAGGAGCGAAAGCCGUGGGGAGCAAACAGG
rnacentral:rRNA from 1 species